AGUGCAUGUGGUGGAUGCCUUGGCGAUUACAGGCGAUGAAGGACGUUGUAGCCUGCGAAAAGCCGCGGGGAGCUGGCAAACAAGCUUUGAUCCGCGGAUGUCCGAAUGGGGAAACCCACCCGCAAGGGUAUCGCUGACUGAAUUCAUAGGUCAGCGAGGCGAACGUGGCGAACUGAAACAUCUAAGUAGCCACAGGAAAAGAAAUCAACCGAGAUUCCGAAAGUAGUGGCGAGCGAAAUCGGAGCAGCCUGUGCGUGAUAGUCGAUUGGCUAGUGGAACGGUAUGGAAAGGCCGGCCAUAGAGGGUGAUAGCCCCUUACACGAAAGCGAAUCGGUGGUACUGAGCGUACGACAAGUAGGGCGGGACACGUGUAAUCCUGUCUGAAGAUGGGGGGACCAUCCUCCAAGGCUAAAUACUCGUAAUCGACCGAUAGUGAACAAGUACUGUGAAGGAAAGGCGAAAAGAACCCCGGGAGGGGAGUGAAAUAGAUCCUGAAACCGCAUGCAUACAAACAGUCGGAGCCUCGCAAGGGGUGACGGCGUACCUUUUGUAUAAUGGGUCAGCGACUUACGUUCAGUGGCAAGCUUAACCAGAUAGGGGAGGCGCAGGGAAACCGAGUCCGAAUAGGGCGCCAUAGUCGCUGGGCGUAGACCCGAAACCAGGUGAUCUAUCCAUGGUCAGGAUGAAGGUUGGGUAACACCAGCUGGAGGUCCGAACCGACUAAUGUUGCAAAAUUAGCGGAUGAACUGUGGAUAGGGGUGAAAGGCUAAUCAAACCUGGAAAUAGCUGGUUCUCCCCGAAAACUAUUUAGGUAGUGCGUCAUGUAUUGCUCCAGGGGGUAGAGCACUGUAAUGGUUGUGGGGGCCAUCGCGGCUUACCACGCCAUAGCAAACUCCGAAUACCUGGAAGUAUGAGCAUGGCAGACAGUCGCCGGGUGCUAACGUCCGGCGGCAAGAGGGAAACAACCCAGACCUACAGCUAAGGUCCCAAAGUGUGGCUAAGUGGGAAACGAAGUGGGAAGGCUAAAACAGUCAGGAUGUUGGCUUAGAAGCAGCCAUCAUUUAAAGAAAGCGUAAUAGCUCACUGAUCGAGUCGUCCUGCGCGGAAGAUGUAACGGGGCUAAGCCAUGCACCGAAGCUUAGGCUGCACUCUCUGAGUGCGGGGUAGGGGAGCGUUCUGUAAGCCUGUGAAGGUGUCUCGUAAGGGAUGCUGGAGGUAUCAGAAGUGCGAAUGCUGACAUGAGUAGCGUUAAAGCGGGUGAAAAGCCCGCUCGCCGUAAGCGCAAGGUUUCCUACGCAACGUUCAUCGGCGUAGGGUGAGUCGGCCCCUAAGGUGAGGGCGAAAGCCAUAGCUGAUGGGAAGCUGGUUAAUAUUCCAGCACCGAUUUCUAGUGCGAUGGGGGGACGGAUCGUGGAAGGUUGUCCGGGCGUUGGAAGUCCCGGUUCCUGACCUGUAGGUGUCUGGUAGGUAAAUCCGCCAGGCGUAUGCCGAGGGGUUGGGACGAGCGAGCUUGCUCGCGAAGCAACUGGAAGUGGUUCCAAGAAAAGCCUCUAAGCUUCAGCUAGAAACGACCGUACCGCAAACCAACACUGGUGCGCGAGAUGAGUAUUCUCAGGCGCUUGAGAGAACUCGGGAGAAGGAACUCGGCAAAUUGACACCGUAACUUCGGAAGAAGGUGUGCCUUGGUAGCUUGAGUGUGAACAACACAAGGGCAAAGAGGUUGCAAAGAAUAGGUGGCUGCGACUGUUUAUUAAAAACACAGCACUCUGCAAACACGAAAGUGGACGUAUAGGGUGUGACGCCUGCCCGGUGCCGGAAGGUUAAGUGAUGGGGUGCAAGCUCUUGAUCGAAGCCCCGGUAAACGGCGGCCGUAACUAUAACGGUCCUAAGGUAGCGAAAUUCCUUGUCGGGUAAGUUCCGACCCGCACGAAUGGCGUAACGAUGGCCACACUGUCUCCUCCCGAGACUCAGCGAAGUUGAAAUGUUUGUGAUGAUGCAAUCUCCCCGCAGCUAGACGGAAAGACCCCAUGAACCUUUACUGUAGCUUUGCAUUGGAUUGCGAACCGACUUGUGUAGGAUAGGUGGGAGGCUUUGAAGUCAGGACGCCAGUCUUGAUGGAGCCAUCCUUGAAAUACCACCCUGGUUUGUUCGCGGUUCAGAUCGG
rnacentral:rRNA from 1 species